UGUGUCUUGCUCUUUGCUGGUUCCUGCUUGCUUUUUGCAGCCACCAUGAACUGUGGCCCAGCCAUGCCCGCCUGCCUUGGAUCCAACUGAGUGUGGACUGAAACCUCCCAAAACUCUCAAGACAAUUCCUCUUCAUUCGGUGCAGCCCAAGUAAGCCAACAGGUCGGACACUAGUCCGUUUCUUCAAAGAAGUAAGGGUGGCCCACGUUCUGAGAGGCCCCACUCAAUGCCAAAAGUUUAUACAACAGCCUUUCUCCAUCUGUGGGGGAUACAUUUCCAGACUCCUAGUGGAUGCCUGAAACCAUGGACAGAAACAAAUCCUACUUGAAUGACUGAGAGGCAAGUAAAUAUAUGCUGUGGAUAUACGUGACAAAGGAAUGGUUGGCAUCUUGGGCUGGACAGAAUGGCUGGGGUGAGAUUUCAUCAAGCUACUCAGAGGAGCAUAAAUUUAAAACUCAUUAUAUAUUUACUUCUGGAAUUUUCCAUUUACUAUUUUGGGCCAUGGUUGGGCAUGCUAAUUGAAACUAUAGAAAGCAAA